rnacentral:rRNA from 1 species
GACGAACGCUGGCGGCGUGCUUAACACAUGCAAGUCGAACGAUGAUGCCCAGCUUGCUGGGCGGAUUAGUGGCGAACGGGUGAGUAACACGUGAGUAACCUGCCCUUGACUUCGGGAUAACUCCGGGAAACCGGGGCUAAUACCGGAUAUGAGCCGUCCUCGCAUGGGGGUGGUUGGAAAGUUUUUCGGUCAGGGAUGGGCUCGCGGCCUAUCAGCUUGUUGGUGGGGUGAUGGCCUACCAAGGCGACGACGGGUAGCCGGCCUGAGAGGGCGACCGGCCACACUGGGACUGAGACACGGCCCAGACUCCUACGGGAGGCAGCAGUGGGGAAUAUUGCACAAUGGGCGAAAGCCUGAUGCAGCGACGCCGCGUGAGGGAUGGAGGCCUUCGGGUUGUAAACCUCUUUCAGCAGGGAAGAAGCGCAAGUGACGGUACCUGCAGAAGAAGCGCCGGCUAACUACGUGCCAGCAGCCGCGGUAAUACGUAGGGCGCAAGCGUUGUCCGGAAUUAUUGGGCGUAAAGAGCUCGUAGGCGGUUUGUCGCGUCUGGUGUGAAAACUCGAGGCUCAACCUCGAGCUUGCAUCGGGUACGGGCGGACUAGAGUGCGGUAGGGGAGACUGGAAUUCCUGGUGUAGCGGUGGAAUGCGCAGAUAUCAGGAGGAACACCGAUGGCGAAGGCAGGUCUCUGGGCCGCAACUGACGCUGAGGAGCGAAAGCAUGGGGAGCGAACAGG